rnacentral:rRNA from 1 species
GACGGAGGAUGCAAGUGUUAUCCGGAAUCACUGGGCGUAAAGCGUCUGUAGGUGGUUUAAUAAGUCAACUGUUAAAUCUUGAGGCUCAACCUCAAAAUCGCAGUCGAAACUAUUAGGCUAGAGUAUAGUAGGGGUAGAGGGAAUUUCCAGUGGAGCGGUGAAAUGCGUAGAUAUUGGAAAGACCACCAAUGGCGAAGGCACUCUACUGGGCCAUGACUGACACUAAGAGACGAAAGCUAGGGGAGCAAAUGGG